AGUGAACGCUGGCGGUAGGCCUAACACAUGCAAGUCGAACGGCAGCACAGUAAGAGCUUGCUCUUACGGGUGGCGAGUGGCGGACGGGUGAGGAAUACAUCGGAAUCUACUUUUUCGUGGGGGAUAACGUAGGGAAACUUACGCUAAUACCGCAUACGACCUACGGGUGAAAGCAGGGGAUCUUCGGACCUUGCGCGAUUGAAUGAGCCGAUGUCGGAUUAGCUAGUUGGCGGGGUAAAGGCCCACCAAGGCGACGAUCCGUAGCUGGUCUGAGAGGAUGGUUCGCCACACGGGAAGUGAGACACGGUCCAGACUCCGACGGGAGGCAGCAGUGGGGAAUAUUGGACGAUGGGGGAAAGCCUGAUCCAGCCAUACCGCGUGGGUGAAGAAGGCCUUCGGGUUGGAAAGCCCUGUUGUUGGGAAAGAAAAGCAGCAGGUUUAUACCCCGCGGUUCUGACGGUACCCAAAGAAUAAGCACCGGCUAACUUCGUG
rnacentral:rRNA from 1 species